CUACGUGCCAGCAGCCGCGGUAAUACGGAAGGUCCGGGCGUUAUCCGGAUUUAUUGGGUUUAAAGGGAGCGUAGGCUGGAGAUUAAGUGUGUUGUGAAAUGUAGACGCUCAACGUCUGACUUGCAGCGCAUACUGGUUUCCUUGAGUACGCACAACGUUGGCGGAAUUCGUCGUGUAGCGGUGAAAUGCUUAGAUAUGACGAAGAACUCCGAUUGCGAAGGCAGCUGACGGGAGCGCAACUGACGCUGAAGCCCGAAGGUGCGGGUAUCGAACAGGAUUAGAUACCCUGGUAGUCCGCACAGUAAACGAUGGAUGCCCGCUGUUGGUACCUGGUAUCAGCGGCUAAGCGAAAGCAUUAAGCAUCCCACCUGGGGAGUACGCCGGCAACGGUGAAACUCAAAGGAAUUGACGGGGGCCCGCACAAGCGGAGGAACAUGUGGUUUAAUUCGAUGAUACGCGAGGAACCUUACCCGGGCU
rnacentral:rRNA from 1 species